rnacentral:rRNA from 1 species
UACGGAGGGUGCAAGCGUUGUUCGGAAUUACUGGGCGUAAAGCGCGUGUAGGCGGCUUGGCAAGUCGGGUGUGAAAUCCCGGGGCUCAACCCCGGAACUGCAUUCGAAACUGCCUGGCUGGAGUCCCGGAGAGGGUGGUGGAAUUCCCAGUGUAGAGGUGAAAUUCGUAGAUAUUGGGAGGAACACCAGUGGCGAAGGCGGCCACCUGGACGGUGACUGACGCUGAGACGCGAAAGCGUGGGGAGCAAACAGG